rnacentral:lncRNA from 1 species
UAAUAUAAAGGAGAGCAGAGAGAGAAAAAAGACAAACGUCCCAUCCAAAUCCACGUCAGCUACUCUCUCUUAUUACUCCCAUUUCAAAUUUUAAACCCUUUAUCUCUCCCUCUCUCCUUACACACACAGAGCUGAGAGAAGAACAAAACACGCAAAGAAGAAGUCGGCACCUUCUAUCUCUCUUUGUUCUCGCAAAAACAAAACGCGAAACCUUCUAUCUCUCUCUGUUCUCCUCUUCCGCGGCACCUUCUAUCUCUCUCUGUUCUUAUCUAAAUCUCUUAUCCCACUCAACUCCCCUAAAUCUCGAUUUCUCAUACCCAGCCCUAAUUGGGUUCACUUGAAAAACGCAGAAGAAGAAGAAUUCGAAGAUCUAAGACUCCUCUUGGCUCUCCUCUUCCUCGGC